GUAGGAGUGGACAAAAGUGUCUCCUGCUGUCACCUGAAUCCAGUGGAUGACUACAUCAGUGGCGCUCUGGAAGCUGCACGGUAAGAUGCAGGUCUCCAUGAAAACACAGGAGACCUCAGCAUCUGCAACACAUCAGGAUGAAGAGGAGGCAGGAGAUGUGGGAAGGAUGGCUGUAACGUGGAGAAAGAGGAAGCAAAGUGUCUGCACUGCGAGGGAAACCACCAUACAGGAUCGGCACAGAGCCCAAAAAGAAUUAAGGAAGUAAAAGCGAAUAAGAUCAGAGCAGAAAAGGGAUCGUCAUACGCUGAAGCUGGAGAGAGAAUGGAGAGAAACAGUGGCAGCACAAAAGGAAAUGGAGAUGAUCAGAGCAUCAGUAUGGACAAGAAGCGAUUUCUGGCAUUUAUUGCCACGGUUAUAACCUGUGCGGCUGAAAUAAAGGGGAAGUCAGAAAGGAUUAAGAUGGUGCUGGACGCUGCAGGAAGGUUGUUGGAUGUUGUGGACACAUCUGGAGAGGAUCUGGAUGUUACACUGAGGGAAGGAGCUGCACCAACUCAGACAACCAGGUCUGGGUUGUAGAAUGGACUAAUGUCAUGGGAGCACUUUGGGUGGACACUGUAAAUACUUUACACUGUGAAGCCGUUACAAUCCAGCAGGUGGCGGUAAUGCACAAUUAGGGACGCCAACCGCCAUAAAACUCA